AGUGGUAAACAUGUAAUUUCCCCAACAAUAUAUAUAUAUUUUAAAUGAUAAAAAUUAUUAAGUUUAAAAUUUUUGAAAAUGAAAAUUUAGUAUGUAUAAUUGAUAUUAUAAAUAUGUCAGAAAUACCAAAAUAUGUAAAACAAAAUUCAAUAAAAAAUCUAUUAAUCUGUAUAAAAUCCCUUAACUAAACACAUCAAUAACAUUUUGGGGUUUUGUUUGAACAAAAUUAUAUUUGAAGGAAGUAUUGUCAAAUAUAUUUUUAUCAAUAAAAACAAUAUACAGUUUUAAGACAUUAAAAAUUAUUUUAAAUUAAUGGAAGACGAGUCUAAAUAAACAAAUUAUACUAUUUUGAUACUUAUAUAUGUAUAAUUAUAUAAAACUUUAUAUAAAUUUAGAAAAUUUAUUGUUUGGAAAAUUUAUAAUAUACACAAAUUAUAUAUGUUAACAUAUGCUAUAUAUGGGUUACAUACGAAUUGUUGGAGUUUUUUGUUCAGCCACAGAUCUAGAUCGGAUAUGGAAACACUUUUUGAAACUCAAAACAACUUUUUUCUUUUUUUUAAGAAAAUGUUAUAAAUUCAUGCAUAUUUUAUCAAAAUUAUUAGCAGAAAAUUUUAAUCAGUUAUAAAAAAACGCAUAGCAAAUCGAGUUGUUACUUUAAUAGAGUUUAUUUCUGGUAUUAAAUUUAAUUAAUAAAUAAAAUUUAAAUCAGUUAUAAGAAAACACAUAGCAAAUAAAUCUUUCAAAAAUUCUUAAAAAUAUCAUUUCUUAUCUCUCUUUUCUUUUCUUAAAAAAAAUACGAAUCUAACUGACUUAAAUAUUCUCACUAGAGAUGAUCAAAGCUUCAGAGUUAGUUAGACUAAUUUUUGUUAAAAUCUUAUAUAGAUCAUAUUUCCAUAUGUAUCUGAAUAUGCAUCUGUUGAAAUUGAUAAACAAUUGUAAAAUUUUAACUAACAUCACAAAAUAUUUGGAAAUAAAAUGUUACACGUUCAUCAGAUGACAUACAAACUUCUAACAUCUAGAGUAAAAAAAUAUAGGACUGGAUUAUUUGUUAAUGAUAUAUUCAAGUUGCAAGAAAACAUAACAUUAGUGUUUUGAUAGUUUACAUAUUAAACUUUCUAUAUAAUCAAAUGUACGAUGCUGAACAUCAAUAUGUGGACACAAUUGGUAAGAGCAUAAGACAGAUCAAACCGCAUGAUAGCAAUACCUCAUUAUUGCAUCAUAUAUGAUAUAUAAUUCAUACAUGAAUUAAAGAAAACAUUUUACUACCAGACGAAAACUUUUUUUUUUAACUUAAGUUAAGGGGACAAAGGAUUGAUGAUAACAAUACGAAGAGAGCAAAUAAUGGAGAGACUUUUUGUUCUGCUUUUCUCGAUCUGCCAUGAUUGAUUAUGAUUCUUGAGACUAAGCUUACUUAUUAUACUGAAUCGAAUAGUCUUAAAGAGAAAGGAACGUUGUUUCUUUAACAUUAAUUAUUGGACUUUGUGCGUUUGAUUAUCACAUAAUGAUUAACCUAUAAAAAAGCAUAUAUAGUUCACCUACGUUUGUUGUCAAAAAAAAAAAAAAAAAGUUCACCUACGUUUAGAGAGAUAUGUAUAGCUUUUACCAAAAAGAAUGAUAUAUUUGUUUUAGGACUUAGGAUGCUUGCAACAUCGUAAACGAUGUUGUUAGUGAGAACAAUAAGCCAAAUGAUGUUGUCGUACAAAAUAAAUGGUGCAUGUGUUGAAAAAUAUUAUUAGUUUUAAGUAUACGAACUGUUCUAAUGAAUCAUUAGUACAAUUUUACAUACACAAAAAAGUUUGAGUAUAAUACAGUUAAGGGUCUUAUAAUAUAUAUAUAUUUUUUGCCCAUUUUUUAUUAACAGGCUAAAGCCCAAGAAAAAUAGCCUACACAUACAAAGUAUCAAACCUAAAAACCUAAACCAAAAGAUCAAACUGAAAAUAAACACUAGGGCUAAAUUAAGUCCAGCAAACUAAACAACCAAAAAUUCACUAAACGCCAUUUAACAUCACGCGUCGAGUUUUAGCGCGAGUGGGACACGUGUUUAACCCACAGCCAACAAGGAACACACCUCACAAUAGCCUCCACGUCUUCGCCACUACGCCGAAGAACUAAACGACCUUUCACUGGAAAUACACCAGAACAAGAACUACAACAUAAACCCCCUUCAUCGCCUGAGCUCCUUACCACGGAGAGCGUUCAUCAAGCAUAAUCGAGAUCUCGUCCGAAAAGCACCAAACCCUCGAGAGUCAUGACGUAGGUGGAUUAUGAGAUCUUUGGACUGCGAAAACGGAGACUUCUUUUCUCCCACUUUCUUUUCUUUAUUUAUAAACCCAAACUAACUAUAGUUAACAUCGCCUUUUUGCUUAUAAUAAUACAUGCAUAAUCUUGCUUAACCCAUGUUAAAGUCAAAAAUAAAAACCAAACAAUAAGCAAAUAAAAUAAAAUUGGUGAACUGGACACAUGUCGUGCUUAGAAAAGAGGAAUUAGUGAUGUGGCAGCCUCUAAGGAGAGAAUUCUGAAAGCCUUCUUGGUCCAGUUGGUUGGACUAAGGCCAUGUUUGAUUGUACGCUCCAAUUCUGGUUUAACAUAUCUACAAAUUAUUAGACCUUUCAAAACCUGUGAUCAGCCUAAAAAUUACUUGUUUGUCUUAGUAAGCGGUAACGUCAUUUGAGUGAAAGUAAAAGCUAAUAUGCACAUUCCAAAAAAUCUCUUUCUUGUUUUGUUUCUCCCAGUGUGUUAAGGACGAUGUAUUAGAUUUGCUUUUUACUUGGUGCACAUAUUCUGAGGGAUCUUCUGCUACAAUGUAGCUUCAAUUUUGAGUUUCAUUGAAUUUAUUAUUUUUAUAAUUAUAUAUUUAAACAAUGUGAAAAAAUAUUUUUUUACCGCGAUGAAAAGUAUAUCUUGAGCUCGUUAGACAUUAUGAAAAUAUAAUAUUAAACUUUACUAUUUAGAAAAAUAAAAAUUAUUUUAUUUUAGAUGUACUUCCAUAGCCAAACGUUCUUCUUCUGGUCAUCCACGGACACAUAGUGCAACAGCCCACUGUCAAAAGAGUUUUAGAUUGUUAGUAUGAACAUAUGAACACAUGAGUAAUUUAAGCAAUCAUGAAGACACUCGUAGAUCUUUGAAUGACAGACAAUUUAUAAUUUCUACUUACAAAUAUGGCUUCUUCAUCUUUCUCAAAUGUUCAAGUCCUUGAUGGAUGUUCUAGUGUACUUCUUUUAUAUAUUAUUACUUUAUUAUCAGAAUGUUUUGUCACCACAUAAUGCUCAUCUAAUUGGAGAUGGUAAUCACUGAUUAGCUAAACUAUUGGUAAUUAUGAUAUAUAGGAGAUUGCAUCCUUUUCUGCAGUUGCUUUCAAGCUUUAUCUUUUUGGAGUUCCCUUUUUUUGUUUGUUUAACCCCAUAGCAUUCUGUUAUCAUCUAUUACAUCAAUAAUAUGGUUUUGUUCAUUGCCUAAUUAAUGUGUUCAUCAAGGUUAUUAAUCAAAACUUGUGGCCUUUUCUAUCAGUAGGUGGAUUAUGAGAUCUUUGGACUGCGAAAACGGAGACUUCUUUUCUCCCACUUUCUUUUCUUUAUUUAUAAACCCAAACUAACUAUAGUUAACAUCGCCUUUUGCUUAUAAUAAUACAUGCAUAAUCUUGCUUAACCCAUGUUAAAGUCCAAAAUAAAAACCAAACAAUAAGCAAAUAAAAUAAAAUUGGUGAACUGGACACGUGUCGUGCUUAGAAAAGAGGAAUUAGUGAUGUGGCAGCCUCUAAGGAGAGAAUUCUUUGCUUUAUAUUAAUAGAGAUUCCUCCUCUGGGGAGUUUUGUAAAGGGUGACCAUAGAUGAGAAUCUGUGAAAGCCUUUUUGGUCCAGUGGUUGGACUAAGGCCAUGUUUAUUGCGAGAUUUUUAGGAUGAGGUUUUUAGCGUAAUAUAAGAAUCAUCUCUUAACUUGUAACUAAGAAAAAACUAAGAACCGGCUCUUAAAUAAGAGUUUUAAGAGACGGUUCUUAGUUUUUCUUAGUUGAAGUUAAGAAACGGUUCUUAUAUUACGUUAGGAACUAUAUUUUAAGAAUUCCACAAUAAACAUGGCCUUAAUCCAACCACUGGAUCAAGGAAGCUUUCACAGAUUCUCAUCUAUGAUCAUGGGCGGAUCCACGUUGUCUGGGGAGGGGGCAGCUGUCCCCAUAAAAAUUUACAAAUAAAUCUAUUUGCAUAACAAAAUUUAAACUUUCCGUAGUAUAGUUGGUUUCAAUCAAGUGUUUGACCCCCCUCAUUAAUCACGGUUCAAACCCCUUCCUGCUCCUUUAUUUAUUUUAUUAUUUUUUCCCUUCACUUUUUCAAUUAGUUUUCUAUCAAUUGUUUUAUUCUUUUUUUUUUCACGUACUUUCUUUACUCUUUUUUUGUUCGUUUACUCUUUUCAUUCAAAAACAAUUUUGUAUUUAACAUUAGGAUCGGCCCGCCCUACGGAUGGAAAGUUAUAAUAAAAGUGAUUUUAUAAUAAUUUAUGAAGUAAUUUAAAAUUAUGAUAAAUUAAAAAAUAUUAUAAACGAAAAAAUAAUGAAAGACUUAUGAGAUCAUUAUAAUUAUUUUUUUGUUUUGAAUUAUAAUGAUAGUAAAUUUCACUAUUCUCUGAUAAAUAACAUUAUAUUUUAAUAUUUAUUUUAAUUCAAAUGUUUUGUUUUAUAAUAUUCUUAAUUAAACUAACUUAUUUAAGGUUUUUUUUUUUUGCGAAUAUGACUCAAAACUUGAAGUCAUUCCUAAAGUAAUUCAUGCUUUUUUUUGUGAUGUAAUUGUAUAUUCCCUUUGUAUGUAUGUUUUGUAAAAUUUUGUUAAGAGAAGUAUAUAAUAAUAUUUAUGGGUUUUGAAAAUUUUAGGGUGUCGAAGGAUUAUUUAUGUUAAGGUUAGUUAUAUUUGAGUUAAAAUGUUUUAGUGAGGGGAUUAAUUGAAUGAUUUAAUGUGAUAGUCAAUGAGGAUGCAUGAAUCCAACCGACUUCCAUAUCGGUUCCAAAAUUCAACCAAAGGUAGAAGAAGUGGAAUCGAACAGCCAAAUACGACACCUUCCAACUGACCUUGAUCGGAAUUCAGUGUGGCCGGUGCAGCAAAUCUUCAUUGACCGUAGGUUUGAACCGGAGUUUUUAGAACGCAACAGAUCUGUCUUUCGUUUGUCGAUAUUAUUUUUGGAGAAGAAGCCGUCUCAUGUGGGAUCCUUCAUGUGUUAUCCUACAGCCCAGAAACCCAAUUAUGUUAAGUCCAAAACACUGAUCUGAAAUAUUUAUUAACAAAAAGAGAAAAGCUCAUUAAUAAUUAUGAUUAAGUGUAACGGUGAGUAUCAUCCAACCCAGACACGUGUCGGCCUGUCAGGAACUGACUUUAUGAGCAAAGCAGGAGUGAGGCGAACAUAUUUUUAUAUAUAUAGAUUUUGUAUUUUUAAACAAGGAGAGUUGGUUUCAUCUUUUUUUAUUCCUUGAAUAAUUUUAAAAGGAAAUUCAUCUAUACCAUUUUAAUAGUUUAUUUUUACUUAUAGCCUUCUUAUAUGAAAUAAUAAUAUUUAUUAAUUAAUUAAUUUUUUUAAUUUGCCCCCACUUAAAAUAUUUUCUGUCUAUGAUAACCCUUUACUUUUGCCAUUACUUAAAACUCUGCAGGAGAAUUAACAAGUUACGUUGAUUUGAUUAUGUUUUCAUGUAAUUUGGACAGAUCAAGAAGAUACAAAAAAAAUUCUGAUGUAGCGGAAGCUUUAUAGAGAUAGGACUAGAGAUCCGUUGAUUUUUAGAAUACCCGGAAAACUAGGAUAAUCACAAAGAUCUUAUUUAGUCUAAGAAUGUCUAAGAUCAAUAUCUUCUUAAAUUCGUUGAGAACACCUAUGUUCUAGCCGAAAACAAGGAAUAAAUAGAAAUCUUUUAACUUUUUAUUAAUAAAUCAUCAAAAUAAACUCAAUACAAACUUAAACCUAUAAGGCUAUAUAUAAUAAAACCGUAAAACUCUAAAACAAUAAAAAUAAUUAUCUAAAUAAUUAAUAAAACAAAGAAUAAGAUAUUUGGAAAUAUCCCAAAUAUUUAUCUGCAUCAUUUUCUCUAGGUUGGAAAGAUUCGUCUUCGAAUCUUAACCGUGAUCUUCAAUGAGUUUGUUUCUUCUAUUCCUUAACAUCCAAUGACAAUAUUCUUGCCAAACAAGUAAGCAAUGGUGACAUAUUUCAUCAAAGUCAACUUGCGCCGUGAACAAUGUAAUCAUCAUGAAGCUGAUAUCCAUGUGCUCCUCCUUAUCACGAUGAUGUGUGAAAGCUUGUAUUGGAUCACCCUUAACAAAAGCCCAGCUGGCUCCACAACUUCCAAAACGUGAGUUUCCUUGCUUCAAAUUGAUGCCGUCCACGAGCAAAAAAGUAUUCUGACGAGUAACUUCAUCGCUCAACUUAUCAUUCACUUGACCAUAGAAUUCAUUGACGUCGUACUGAAUCCAACCGUCAUCAUCAUAAAGAUCGAAAAUUGGAUCUCCAACAAUCUCUAUAUAGACGGUUUCUUCACUUUCGAUGAACAGAUUUUCCAUGAUUCCAGAAUCGAGUUUUGAUUAAGAAACCAAAACACCAGCUCUGAUACCAACUGAUGUAACGGAAGCCUUAUAAGAUACCAAAUGAAGUCACGUAAUAACUCUUGCCGCUCAUGCCUAGAUUUUUCUAGUACGCCAUCAACCGCAGAUUUUAUAGCUUGCGAUAUUAUGGAGUUUGUAUGAUUACUAAAUGUCAUAGUUUGAGAUACCCUGGAUCAAGCCCUAAUUAAAAAUUAAAGCUCCUGGAUUCUGAUACCAAAUGACGGAGCAUAAGUACCGUCUAGUAACCGAUAAUGCAAAGAUAUCGUUGAAUUCUGAGAAUGCCCGCUAUCUAUACCUUCUUAAAGCCGUUGAAUUCUUAGAGAAUGCCCGAAAGUAAGGAUUCAAGAGUUUGUUGACACCAAAGCUCUAGUUUAUUAAUCAAUAAUUCAAAAGUUGUGACUCUUACAAAUCAAGAGCUCACUAUUUAUACUUACAAGAAAAGACCUAAGUCCUUAAGAGCACCCCUAUUGAGAGUUCAUGGGGGGAGUUCACACAAAAAUCAAGAAAAAAAAAUAAUAAAAUAAUUCAAUCCCAUGAACCCUCUCUCUCCUAAAGUUCUCUUGGUUGAACCUCUCACUCCUAAAGUUCAUCACUGUAGCGCGGGCCCCACGUGUCGUGGCGGCCCGCGAUUGGUCUAAUUUUUUUUUUUUUUUUUUUUUUUUUAAACCAAAAAGAAAAAGAAACAAAUUUUAAUAAUAAAAAAC